rnacentral:rRNA from 1 species
CCUACGGGAGGCAGCAGUGGGGAAUAUUGCGCAAUGGGCGAAAUCCUGACGCAGCGACGCCGCGUGAGGGAUGAAGGUCUGCGGAACGUAAACCUCUGUCAGCAGGGAAGAACGGUCACUUGGCUAAUCAGCAGUGAAUUGACGGUACCUGCAAAGGAAGCACCGGCUAACUCCUGGCCAGCAGCCGCGGUAAUACGGCGGGUGCGAGCGUUAAUCGGAAUGACUGGGCGUAAAGCGCUCGUAGGCGGUAUGUCAAGUCAAGGGUGAAAUCCCCGCGCUCAACGUGGGAACUGCCUUUGAAACUGGCAAACUGGAGUGUGUGAGAGGUUAGUGGAAUUCCAGGUGUAGGCGUGAAAUCCGUAGAUAUCUGGUGGAACAUCAGUGGCGAAGGCGACUCUCUGGCACAUAACUGACGCUGAGGAGCGAAAGCGUGGGUAGCAAACAGGAUUAGAUACCCGGGUAGUC